UUACGGCUAUAUCACGUUGAAACAUCGAUUCUCGUAUGAUCACUGAAGAUAAGCAACGUUGUGCCUGGUCAGUACUUAGAUGGGUGACUGCUUGAAAAUACCAGAUGCUGUAA